GACAGAGGAUGCAAGCGUUAUCCGGAAUGAUUGGGCGUAAAGCGUCUGUAGGUGGCUUUUUAAGUCCGCCGUCAAAUCCCAGGGCUCAACCCUGGACAGGCGGUGGAAACUACCAAGCUGGAGUACGGUAGGGGCAGAGGGAAUUUCCGGUGGAGCGGUGAAAUGCGUAGAGAUUGGAAAGAACACCGAUGGCGAAGGCACUUUACUGGGCUAUUACUAACACUCAGAGACGAAAGCUAGGGUAGCAAAUGGG
rnacentral:rRNA from 1 species